CGCAAGCCUGAUGCAGCAACGCCGCGUGAAGGAUGAAGGCUUUCGAGUUGUAAACUUCUUUUCUGCGGGAAGAGAACGGACGGUACCGCAGGAACAAGUCUCGGCUAACUACGUGCCAGCAGCCGCGGUAAAACGUAGGAGGCGAGCGUUAUCCGGAUUUACUGGGCGUAAAGCGCACGCAGNCGGUGGCAUCAGUGAUGCGUGAAAGCUCCCGGCUCAACUGGGAGAGGCCGUAUCAUACUGUGUCACUGGAGACAGAUAGAGGCAUACGGAAUUCCGGGUGGAGUGGUGAAAUGCGUAGAGAUCCGGAGGAACACCAGUGGCGAAGGCGGUAUGCUGGGUCUGAUCUGACGCUGAGGUGCGAAAGCGUGGGGAGCGAACGGGAUUAGAAACCCCGGUAGUCCACGCCGUAAACGAUGCAAACUAGAUGUUAGCGGUCGAAAGGCCGUGAGUGUCGUAGCUAACGCGAUAAGUUUGCCGCCUGGGGACUACGGCCGCAAGGCUAAAACUCAAAGGAAUUGACGGGGACCCGCACAAGCAGCGGAGCGUGUGGUUUAAUUCGAGGCUACGCGAAGAACCUUACCUGGGCUUGACAUGAUGGUAGUAGCGACCUGAAAGGGAAGCGACCUUCGGGAGCCAUCACAGGUGCUGCAUGGCUGUCGUCAGCUCGUGCCGUGAGGUGUUCGGUUAAGUCCGAAAACGAGCGCAACCCCUAGCCCUAGUUACAAGUGUCUAGUGCGACUGCCCGGGGAAACUGGGAGGAAGGUGGGGAUGACGUCAAGUCAGCAUGGCCUUUAUGUCCAGGGCUACACACACGCUACAAUGGCCGGUACAA
rnacentral:rRNA from 1 species